rnacentral:rRNA from 1 species
GAUGAACGCUGGCGGCGUGCUUAACACAUGCAAGUCGAACGAAGCACUUCAAUCGAUUUCUUCGGAAUGAAGUUUUAGUGACUGAGUGGCGGACGGGUGAGUAACGCGUGGGUAACCUGCCUCACACAGGGGGAUAACAGUUGGAAACGGCUGCUAAUACCGCAUAAGCGCACAGUACCGCAUGGUACAGUGCGAAAAACUCCGGUGGUGUGAGAUGGACCCGCGUCUGAUUAGCUAGUUGGCAGGGCGACGGCCUACCAAGGCGACGAUCAGUAGCCGACCUGAGAGGGUGACCGGCCACAUUGGGACUGAGACACGGCCCAAACUCCUACGGGAGGCAGCAGUGGGGAAUAUUGCACAAUGGGGGAAACCCUGAUGCAGCGACGCCGCGUGAGCGAAGAAGUAUUUCGGUAUGUAAACUUCUAUCAAUAGGGACGAAGAAAGUGACGGUACCU